GCUGGGUGUGGUGGUGCAUGCCUGUAAUCCCAGCAUCUAGGGAGUCUGAGGCAGGAAGAUGAAGAUUUCAAAGCCAGCCUCAGC
rnacentral:sRNA from 1 species